rnacentral:rRNA from 1 species
UAGGGAAUCUUCCACAAUGGACGCAAGUCUGAUGGAGCAACGCCGCGUGAGUGAAGAAGGUUUUCGGACCGUAAAGCUCUGUUGUUGGUGAAGAAGGAUAGAGGUAGUAACUGGCCUUUAUUUGACGGUAAUCAACCAGAAAGUCACGGCUAACUACGUGCCAGCAGCCGCGGUAAUACGUAGGUGGCAAGCGUUGUCCGGAUUUACUGGGCGUAAAGCGAGCGCAGGCGGAAGAAUAAGUCUGAUGUGAAAGCCCUCGGCUUAACCGAGGAAUUGCAUCGGAAACUGUUUUUCUUGAGUGCAGAAGAGGAGAGUAGAACUCCAUGUGUAGCGGUGGAAUGCGUAGAUAUAUGGAAGAAUACCAGUGGCGAAGGCGGCUCUCUGGUCUGCAACUGACGCUGAGGCUCGAAAGCAUGGGUAGCGAACAGGAUUAGAUACCCUGGUAGUCCAUGCCGUAAACGAUGAGUGCUAAGUGUUGGGAGGCUUCCGCCUCUCAGUGCUGCAGCUAACGCAUUAAGCACUCCGCCUGGGGGAGUACGACCGCAAGGUUGAA